UAAAGCUUAUGGUGGUGACCAUAAAGCUUUAUUUUUGUCUCUUCACUCCAAAUUACAGUGUGCCAGAAGCCAUGUGAAAGUGUCAUCAGGCAUAUUGUAACCAGGCUUUUUUGUGGCACUGGCGCAGUAAAGGCUUCUUUCUGGCAACUCGACCAUGUAGCUCAUUUUUGUUCAAAUAUCUUCGUAUUGUGCUCUUUGAAAUAACCACAGUCUUUUCCCAGAGCAGCCUGUAUUUCUCCUUAAGUUAACUGUGGGUUUUUCUUUGUAUCCCAAAAAAAAUGUCAGGCAGUUUUGGCUGAAAUCUUUCUUGGUCUACCUGACCUUGGCUUGGUAUCAAGAAAUCCCCAAAUUUCCCACUUCUUAAUAAGUGAUUAAACAGUACUGGCUGGCAGUUGCAAGGCUUUGGAGAUCUUUUUAUAACCUUUUCCCAUCUUUAUAAAGUUCCAUUACCUUGUUACGGAGGUCAUUCAACAGUUAUUUUCUGCUCCCCAUGGCUCAGUAUCUAGCCUUCUCAGUGUAUCCACAUGACAGCUAACAAACUCAUUGACAAUUGAUUACAAGACACUAAUUGCAAUUUAAAAAGCCACAGGUGUGGGAAAUCCACAUUUAAUUGGCAUUUUCACCUGCGUGUGUCACCUUGUGUCUGUAACAAGGCCAAACAUUCAAGGGUAUGUAAACUUUUUUUUCCCAGGGCCAUUUGUGUGAUUUCUGUUAUCAUUAUGAUUUAAAGAGGAGCCAGACAACUAUGUGAUAAUAAAUGGCUUUAUAUGAUCACUAUCCUUAAAUAAGAGAUUUCUGGAUGAUCAGUAUUAUAUUUAAAAUCAAUACAAAAAUGUCAAUUUCUGCCAAUGAAUGCAAACUUAUGAGCACAACUGUAUGUUAGCAAUUCUAACACUGGUCUUCUGCUUUCAAAAUGUGAUGCAUCCAAGCAGUAAGAUAUGUCCAGAAAACACACUGUAUUGUCCUCAAUUGGAAAUAGGAUCACUCCAACAACUCUUUGCAUUUUUGCAUACAUGCAAAGUAACACAGGUAACACAGUAUGUAUGAGCCACUCAGUGUCCACACGUAACAGAAAAAAACUAUAGAAAGCAUAACAACUUGUAUGCCCACAUUAUUAUACCCUGAAUGCUGAAUUAACGAAGACAACCUUCCAGAACCACACAAUAGUCUAUAGAGGGUUACUAGAACACCUUUAACUUACGAUCGACAUUAAGACUGGAAACUGCUUCAUAGUUCUUCUAACCUCUCCAUUUCACUGGAAAAAGAUAACACUGUAUUCUUGGGGCGGUUUGAACAGCACAAUGACAUCAUCCCUCAUCUUCAAUCUUCAUGUCACAGACAAUUAAAACCUGUUGGAAGACAAGGGUGUUCCGCUGCCUCAGGAAGUAGGCAAGGAGAUGGAAGGGGCCGAGCCCUCCUGUAUUAUUACCACCAACACCCAUUCCUCCCAAACCACCACCGGGAGGCCGCCCCAGAGACAAAACCGCCUCCGCUUGAAAGAGGUUUGUCUUUUGGUGUUGAUUUCUCCCUCCUCCCCUCACCCUUUGUUUUGUGUAAAUAAAACACCCACCAGGGCCCUGAACACAUCCUUUUUUUCUGUUCCCUGUGUCUAACCACAUUACUAUAUACACCUCUGAAAAUGCAACCCAAUCAGUGAACUAUAAACAGAACAUUGUAAUUACACUGGCCUGACAUUUGGCCAGGCGGUCGAAAAUGAAAAGCGACUCAAGAGAAAUAAAAAACAAGGUGAUUUCCACAGUGAUGUUAUACUACUAUGUAAGAGUAAAAUAUCCCUGUCUAUUAAUCUCUAUGGUCAAGGUUGUCUAAAAUGGAAAGGAGAAUAACAACUAAGACCUAAGGAACAAAAAAUUAUACUACAACCAAACAAGUGUAAUGCACUAGAAUGAAGUAUACAAAAUAAACCUGUACUCUAUUGUGCGUGGCGAUCGGCUCAACGAUGGGCGUCUCAUUCACAGACGUUUGGUAGUCGGACGGCCAUCAGCCAGAAUGAUGCGCGUCAAUGCGUGGAUCACCCAGCGUUGCCGGGGCGACUGGGGCACCCCCAUGCCUGUACUGCCUGACUUUCCUCAGGGAGGUUUUGGAUUGGGUUGGCCAGGGUGGACGAUGACCUAUCCUGCACACUCUUUGGCAUGGAGUAACGUACUGUAGGAUCUUUAUAGAGGGCAGCUGACAGCAGAGGACCCAUUUGAUGCACUGUAGUUUACCCCUGCAGGGAGUAGACACAAACCCCAACCAGUGUGUCCAGCAGUAGUAGUCAGAGGAUUGUGUUAAAGAAGAGCUCAACAUGUUGAGACAGGUCAAACCAGGCAAGCCCAAGCCCAUCCUGAAUGUGAAGGCUUCCUACAGAAUUCAGUUGGACAGUGUCAUACAGCAGGGCUGUUCUACUGGAGGUUAUUGAGAAAGGCCCUUCAAUUCUGAAUAUAAAAAAAUACAAG
ensembl:lncRNA